GCAAACUACGUGCCAGCAGCCGCGGUAAUACGUAGGCUUCAAGCGUUAUCCGGAUUUAUUGGGCGUAAAGGGUGUGUAGGGGGUUUCGCGCGUCUCCUGUUAAAGACCGCUGCUCAACGGCGGAAGUGCGGGGGAUACGGCGAAACUAGAGGGCGCGAGAGGUUUGCGGAACACAUGGUGUAGGGGUGACAUCCGUUGAUAUCAUGUGGAACACCGAAGGCGAAGGCAGCAAACUGGCGCGUUCCUGACCCUGAAACACGAAAGCGUGGGGAGCAAAAAGGAUUAGAUACCCCGGUAGUC
rnacentral:rRNA from 1 species